rnacentral:lncRNA from 1 species
AAUCUGUGACGUCUUUACGUUCUUUAAAACUCAGAAGAAAUGUAAUCUCACAAAACUACAUUGGUCGAUGGCUGUUUCAAGAGUAGCUUGUUACCUCCAUCUCUUCCAACCACUCUCCAGUUUUUGAAAGCAUUUUCUUACAAAGCAAGUAAUUUAUAUUUAGAAAUUACUGUACUCAUGGUUUAUGAUUUUAUUCACGAUCACUUGUUUGUUUAUUUUGUUACCGUUCGGUACAGCCGUAUAGCUGCAAUAGGUGGCAUGGAAACUUCAAUGCCUACCUUUCAUCGUGUGUACAUAAUUCAAAGCCUAAUUAUAAAGAUGCUCUUGCAAGCUUUAUAAAGGGUUACCAUGACGGGUGCAAGAAUUCAGGCAGACAAAGAAGAGUCUCAAGUCGCUAAAGAUCAUGAAUCUGGCAAUUCUAAAAAGACUACCUGACCUUUACUUGUUAGCCGCAAAAGUAGGAUUCAUUAGGUGAAUGUGGAGUGUAUACUUUGCUAAAUCUUGGAUACUUUGAUUGUGCC